rnacentral:lncRNA from 1 species
UUUUUUUUUUUUUUUUUUUGUAAACCCCACCCUCAACAUGGAACUUGAACUCACGACCCCGAGAUCAAGAGUUGCAUGUUUUACCGACUGAGCCAGCCAGGCAUCCCAGCCAUGGAAAGUGUUUGUAGGCCAAUUUCCUAUAAGAUUUUCAGUUUUUAGAAAAUUAGCAAACAAAACCAGAAUCUGUCAUCUUAGUACCUCAAAGGCUAGUUUCUGGCUACUUUCUUCACUAAAAAAUAAAAAGCAUAUAUACACAUACGUAUGUGUGUAUGAGAGAGAGGCAGAGGGAGAAGCAGGCUCCCUUGGGCAUUCUACCUCGGUCCUAGGAUCACACCCUGAGCUGAAGGCAGAUUGUCAACCUCUGAGCCAUCCAGGCGUCCCUGAAGUACUCUUUUUAAGGAGGGUUUUUCUGAGGGAGUUAGUAAAUACUGUGGGUUUUUUUAUGGUUUUAGGUAAAUGCCAAUAAUACCUGGUAUUCUUUUGGCAGGCACAUGGGGACAUAUAUUGCUAUAUUAUUUCUGGUAGCAUAUGGAAAAAAACCAAGGAGCUGGUUUGGACAUUCAAUUAUUCUUUUACUGAGUACCUACUCAGGCAGGAUCGUGUUAAGUACUGUGAAAAAUGAAAGAUGGAUAAAAUUAAUAAUGUGUAAAGAAACUCAAAAAAUAUUUACAAUAAGAUCCCAGAGAGAUUGAGGGAUGAGUGAGCAAACUCUGAAUAUACACUAAAAUGCUAACCAAGAGGCUGGGAGUGGGGAGGGGUGGGGGUAGGAGUGAGGAUUAAGGGCUACUCUCUCCCACCUCCUUAUUGGGGGCCGGUGGUGGGGAGGUUAAGUUUCUGCAUUCUGCAUAACAAACAUGCAUUAUUUUUGGCUUAAGGAAAAAAGUUAUUUUCAAUUUUAAAAAUUGACCAAGAUAUGCUGAGUGAGUUCUUCAGAGAGCCAGGUAGGCUGUGCAUAGGUGUCCUUAGUGGCUUGAAUCUUCUCCAAAGCUGUGGCUUCCAGGAAGCCCUGGCUGGCUGAGAGCAUGAACAGAGAGGGUAUUGUACCUACAUUCUUGGACAUCAAGUGCUCUGUACUAAUACUCAUGGUCACAUUACUCAUUAUACCUGUCCAGGCUAAAUAGGGGCCAAACUGCUGUCAUUGGCACAUCAUACAACAACAGGGACACACUCAUUGGUUACCCAAGGAAGAGAUAAAUGAGAUUCAAAACCAUUUUUAAAAUCUUUUUUUAGCUUGGAAAGUGUAAAUGAUGAUUUUUUUUUGAGAGGUCAGCUGUGUUAAAUCUCAUAGAAGCAUUUCAGUUUAAUGAGGGCAACUCUGUCCAUUAUAUACAGGGAAAAAACAAAGUUCUGCAACAACGGGAGAGUUUUAAGCAUCCUCUAGGUUAUCUUGCUCUUGAACUUUGACAUUAUAGUAUUAUUAGAGAAAUUUUGAAAAAUGAAACCCGGUCUAUGUUUUGCUGUCCUUGGUUAAAAUCAUUUACUUGUAGUGCUCCUGGAUUUCCUCAGUCUAUCUGUUACCUGAAUUCAGCAAGAGGAGCCAGCAUUUGGGAAGUAUUUGAGAACAGAGGUACAGCAGUUGCAUCAUAGAGCAUCCUAAUUGACAUACCAUCCCAAAAUAAGAUAAUUGAAACAAAUUGCCAUUUUUAAAUAAAAGAUUUUCAUGUUCAUGAAAAGUGUUUAAAUCCUCAUAAGAAUUCUUGCAUUUUAUUGUUAUCCUUUAUCUUUAAUUUUUAUUUAUUUAUUAGAGAGAGAGGGAGGGUGCACAAAAGGGGCAGGGACAGAGGGAGAGAGAGAUUAAGAAUCUCAAGUAGGCUCCAUGACGACGCCAAUCCCGAUGUGUGGCUAGAUCUCACAACCCUAAGAACAUGACCUGAGCCAAAAUCAAGAGUUGUACACCUAACGGACUGAGCCACCCAGGCCCCCGUCUUUAUCCUAAAUUUUAAAACAAAGCCUUGAUUUUGAAUUAGAUAUUUCAGAGAUAGUAAUCAUAAAAAAUAACCCAAUUAGACUAUUCACUUUGGGAAAUUCUUCAUAAGGAAAACAAUGCUUAGAAUCUAUUCUGUGGGUGCCGUUUGCCUAAGGGCUGGUGAGUGUAGACAAAGGCUAAUGAAUAAUGAUUUUUUUAUGCCUCUGGCAUGGAAACAGUCAUCAGGCCAGAAAUAAGGACUUUUAAAAAUAUGUUCCCAGGAUGAAAAGUCAACAGCCUUUUAUGAAUUUGUCCUUUGGGGUGGCUGAUAUCUCCCUUAGGUACAACCUAUACAAUCAGAUGCUGGCUGAUUCAUGUAUUGGGAAUCUUUAUUUGCUUGCUCAAAUGAGUGGUUUUAGUGGCAAAUGACUGAUGAUGAUAUAAAGUACUAAGAACCAACAUGAUUUAGGAAAAGCCAAGUGUUAAAAGGUUCUAAACCUGUUAGACCACCAUAGUAAUUCCAAUCUCAUGAGACCAUGAACCAACCACUUGAUCAUCAUCUAAUUCAUAAACAAAACAAAACAACCUAAUGUGGACCAAAUUGCUUUCUGAUGUUUGAAUGAAGUUACUUUUAUUUAUUCAGCGUGUGGGGAAUUAAAUGUGUAUCUGAAGAGGAAAUGUUGCUAUAGUAGAAAUCUGCCAUUGGAGUCUUAAAAAUGUCAGUGGAACUGUUUUCAACUAUUUAUCAAGUGUACUAAUGCUUUUUGUAAACACUUGUAAUUUCUGUUGUGUAGGUGAGCAAACACUGCAGCCGGUUCCGUUAUCAAGGCAAAGCACAGCACUGCAUUUGACUCAACUCCAGAAAAUACUGUGCUUUCUUCAUAGAACUGGUUGGAUUAGUCAUACAACAUCAAGAAACAGGUUCACGGUCAAUCAUAUUAUCUGCCUGCCCCAUACAGAAAGCACUGAAGUUUCAAGUUUCCACAGAACACUUUGUGGUGUUCAGAGAACAGUUGAAUGGCAUUUCUAGUUUGAUUCAAGGCAGCUGGUAGUACAGCCUACUUUAGGGAAGAAACAGGCUUCUGAUAUACAACAUACACAGAAACUUUGCCUUAUAGAUUCUGCACAAUGUGUCCAGUUAAAUUCAUUAAAUAGCUCUACAAAAGUAUGGAAUAAAGACUUAGAAAUGCUUAAAAAGACAUAAUUUGAGGACCCAGAUAAGUGAAGAGAAGAAGCAGAAUGGAUUGCAGGCACAGAAGGAAGGCUGUUUCAGUGCCACGUGAUAAAUACAGCUCAUCAAUUCUGCAUCCUAGUAUGCGUGUGUGAAAAGGCCUGUUUCCUAGAGGAAAGAGGAGAUUCAUAUCCUGUCUCCCUGGAGUGUUUUCCUCAGGAUGUCAGGACAGUGAUUGGGAGACUACUUGAGGGGACCAAUAGGGAGAUGGAACAAUUUAGAAGAAAGAAUGGAUAUCCUACUAUUGACAGGAAGUGCCCAGGAAGUGAGGUAGGCUGAAUUUAGAAUGAAUGGGCUGAUGGCCUAAGGAAUUUAGAGUCAAGAGGCAGAACAAAGGAUGCUGUCUGUCAGGCCAGUCCCUAGGACAGGGAGGGACAUCCUUCCACAGCGUGGGAUUGGUGAGUCUUCUGAGAAUUGAACGAUUCUCACGGUGGGCAAAACUCUUUGAGGGUGAGUUUUCCUAUCUGAGAAAGGCAGAGCUAAAACUCAGAGCUCUAAUUUAGGAGACUGUGGAAUGAUUUCAGUAGGAGGAAGUGGUGGGAAAAGGGGAGGGGCCAUGAGCCAAAGACGGAUGACCAUCUGCCAGGUGCUGUCCCAGUGGCAUUCAUCUUCUCUGGCAGUGUGACAAGAAAGACUGAAUCCAAAGCAUGGAUGUGAUGUCCCUUCUCCUCCCACCUGGAACACAAUGAAAAGUUUUCCUCAUUUUCUGUGAGCCAAGGUAGAGUCUGGUCAGGAAUGGACUAUACUGGGUGAGUCAGUGUUGUUUUUUCCUUCAGUGGUUGGAAUUAGCUUAGGAGAUGGGUGCCUCAUAUGGUGGGAAACAUAAUUAUCCUGCCUCUGUUCUUCCAAUGGGUAGUGAGUAGCUAGCCAGUAGACUUGGGUUGCAUCUUCUCCAUUGGUUCUCCUUCUUCCUGUUUCACAGCUCUCUCUCCUGGGUACUUUUGGUCACACUACAGAUGCACCUUGGGGCAUUUGCUCUGAUGAGAGGUUUCCUAGGUAAUUUUUACUUUAAACAGAAUGCAGUAUACAUUUCUCUAUGCUUGGGCCCUUGUUGCCCAUAUUCCCGCAGUGCCACACAUCAGUGGCACAGGCCUGGUUUUGACAGUGAUCUUCAAGUACCCAGUGAAGAACCAUCUCUGCAAGAAUGGUGGAAUGGCAGGACCCAUGAUGAGUAUGAAGGCUGAGGGCUCCAGAGCAGGAGCAUCACGGUGGUUGCUGACAAUGAGAAGGGAGACAUACUCUUGGUCUUUUUGUGUUUCCCAAGUCACACUCUUAGGAUGGUUAGGAAAAUGUACAAUUAAGAAGCAGAGUUUUUAAGUUCUUGAAACAGGUGGGUUAUCAUCUUUUCUGGAACUUUCUCAUUCUUUUCAAUGUAAAAGUUGCUGUUUUCUACAUAGGAAUGCAACUGUGGGAGGAAAAAGUGCAGAAAUCUGGUACUUCCUGCCCCUUUCCCCCAAAGAUACGGAAGGGCAUCCGAAAUUGCUGAAUGUUUUUCUUAGACAUCAAAGAACAGAGGAAUGUUGAGAGGGGACUGGCAGCAAAGGGGCUGAUGAAGGUAUAAUGGCCUGAAUAAUGUGUCCUCUCACCAAGUUGAUAUGUUGAAAUUUUAACCCCCAAUGUAAUGAUUUUAGGAGGUGAGACCUCUGGGAGGUGAUUAGGUCACGAAGAUGGUGCCCUCGUGGAUAGGAUUGGUACCCAUCUAAGAAAAGACAAAAGAGUUUGCCCUGGCUCUGGUUUUUGCCACUUGAGGACAUGAUGGGAAGUUGGCAGUCCUCCACCUGGAAGAAGGCUCUCACUAGAAGUCAACCAUGCAGGCAUCCAGAGCUUGGACUUCCAACCUCUAGAACCGUUGGAAAUAUAUUUCUUUUGUCCAUAAGCUACUCAAUCUAUGGUAUUUUGUUAUAGCAGCCCACACUGACUAAGACAAGAGGUGAUAAUUUUUUUUUAAUAGUAACAAGGUAUGGGUAUAACUUCUUAGCAGAAUGACAGAAGUAAUCAUUGAAUUUGAUUUAAUAAUCAGUGAGUAAACUUCUUGUCACUCUAGCUAGUAAAAUAAAGUUACCUACUAGAGAAUGAGCCAAAGAGGUAGUGGUGAAAUAUAUUAGAAUUUUUUUUUUUAAAGCACACUGAAAACAUUCAGAUUUUUUCAAAAUGGCAUCCAGGAAUGUUAGGUGAACUCUUACCAUUUCUGGGGAGAUUACUUCUCAUGGCUGCACGACAUCUUGUCACUAUUAGUAGAUCUAUAGAAGACCUCAGACUUUGUGUUCUUUUGCCAGGGCCAUUUUUCAGGGUUGAUUAUGUACUGGUAACUUUAAGAAACAGGAUAACAGCUCUUCCAGUCCCCACAUUCCAUCCCCAGCCCAGUCAAAGAACAGACUUGCUUACUGCUUGCUACAAAAUUAGUUGGUUCCCCAAGCUCAGUGCUCCUCAACUGUAAAGCAAGACAUUGCAUGUGCAGGGCUCCUCUAGGCCCAUCUUUGUUAUCCCCAUUGGCACUUGAGAGCAAAGGAAACCAACGCAGAUAUGCAAAUGUUUGGGCUGCUUGUUGUGUCAUGAGUAAUAAAGUCCCUUGUCUCUGACUAAAGAGCCUUAAGUGUUUUGCCGUAAAAUAAUAAGUGGGUAAUUUAUUAGGUUGUAGUUAAGGUAAAAUCAAACCCCAGAUCCAACAUAUAUAAUUUUAUCCAUACAUAUUUAAGUAUACAUUUCUAAAAGAUAAGAACUCUCUAAAAAAGAGAUAAGGUCUAGAGAUCUGCUAUAUAACAUUAUACCCAUUGUUUUGUUUUGUUUUAAGAUUUUAUCUAUUUGAGAGAGAGAACAAGCAGGGGGAGACACAGAAGGAGAGGGAGAAGCAGACUCCCUGCUCAGCAGGGGGCAGGACAUGGGCCUUAAUUCCAGGAUUCUGAGAUGACAACCUGAGCCAAAGGCAGACACUUAACCAACUGAGC